rnacentral:tRNA from 1 species
GAGGAUGUAGCUCAAUGGUAGAGCACUUGUCUGGCACAUGCAUAGCCCUGAGUUCAAUCCUCAGCAUUGUAA